CCUGAACUAUUAUAGUGUUAGCACUAUACGUGGAUUACCUACAAAGCACACCUCCAAAUAUUGCCAUAUAUCAGCUACUAGCAUUAGGGAAGAAACUUCAUUCACUUAUUCUUCAAACAAUGUUGCAAAGAACCAACUGUAAAGAACAAAAGAGAGCGAAAUUAAUAACAGCCUUCAAAUUAUGAUAUUCUCAUGCCUAACACUAUUACAAAAGGAAUUAUCAGCUAGGCUUCAAACUUAGUCUUUUCCAUAAGCACAAAAAUACUAUUAGAAGCUAGAAAUUAGGGCACUAAAAUUCUAUGGAACUUUGAAACUAUUUCCGCAAAUCAUAGAAGCUGAAAGAAGCAUGAAUAUCUAUUUUUAUAGACGGCUAGAGGUCAAACAAAAGCAGUUGGAGCACUCAAAGUCAGAGCAGUGGUCGAUUGGAGCACUGGUGGUUAGAGCGAUAGUUGGAGUAGUAGAUUGGAGCAUCGAUUUGAGAUACAAUCGAUCCUCGUGUGAAGUUUUUGUUAAUUUUGAAAUGCAUUGGAGCACUAAUUUGAACAUUUCGAGCAUUGAUUUGAAAAUUUGUAGCACUGAUUGGAAGAUCGGAGACGCAAAGUGUUCGAUUGGAUCGAUCGAUUGAAACUUUUAUUUGUUAACCCAACGAGUUAACUUGAUACCCCAAAGUCGAUC
rnacentral:lncRNA from 1 species